AAUAUUCAGGAUUUGAACUCUGAAUUACUUGAUUUAUUAAUUAAACAAAAUGUCCAAUACAAGCUUCUAGUUGCUUUAAAUACAACAAGGAACUCAAAAAUUACGAGGAAACUGAAAGAUAUUAAUUUACCAUUGCAUCCACUCAUUGAAUUUUGAAGCCAUCUAAUGAGCAUAUAAUAUAUAUACAUGGGAUAGUUCAUUAGCUUUCAACCUACUGCGCAGAUCUUGUAUAUAUAAAUAAAUUGCCUGCAGGAUAAAUUGCAAGCUGCCACUGGGUUCAAUAUUCAACUCUUCCAAAGAUUUGGCAAGCAAUGAUUUGCAAUUCCUGAAGUCAGGAAUCAGCAAGAGAUCGAGAAGAGUGGCCAAGAGAGGCACUGUGAAGUGCACCUUUGGCUACAGUGGUAGCUUGGUAACUGGCAUCAGAUUGGUGCCAUCUUUGAACUGAAUCUUAAACAUAGUGGCCGGAGUAUUCAUCGGAUAAACAAGCUCCGAUUGGCUGAGCUUGGGGGAAUCAUAUUUGGACCGCCUUUUAAACAGCAAAUAGGCAAGAAACAGAAGAAAGAAAGCGAACAGCAAGACUAGAACUAGCAGCAUGAUCUCACCGUGGAUGGCGAAGUUCCGGUCACCGGAGACGAGGAGCUCAUCUUUCUGGGGAUGGUUAUUAGGGGUCAGUGCUAGUGAAGCUGAUGGUUGUUCACUAGCAUUAUUAUUAGCCAUAGAAACAAAGGCCAUGGUCAACUCUCAACUGAAACUUCUCCAGGCAAUGAACUGCAGGCGGCAGCCAGUGGGGUUAAAUUGACUGUUUGUGUACAACUUUUAUCGAUCGGGCUAACUCACGUGGUCUCAGUUUCAUAAGCUAAAAGUGUUGGGUUCAGUUUGGGUAACGUAGAAGGGAAAUGAAAUGAUUGAAUGCAGGAGAUUAAUAUAAUAAGGUGAAUGACGCUUUCUUUUUAAAAGAGGAAGAGGGAAAAAGAAAUACAGGAAACUUAAU
rnacentral:misc_RNA from 1 species